UUCCUAAGCAUGAUGACUCGUAUUAAUAUGCCACGCUUCUAGGCAAAGUCUUUGACCAUAGCGAUUGUUUGUGGUAAUUACUUUACAGUUUUCCCACGCAAUCUCGUGUUUGGUGUAACAUACAUGUUCGGCUAGAGCUGAUUUUCCCUUGUCUAAAGUUGAAACAGCCUUUUGAUGUUCUUUUAGCCGUGUAUCAAACUGGCGUUUAGACUGACCCAAAUACUCUUUGUCGUCAGAGUAUUUUGUCGUAUUUGGGUCAGUCUAAACGCCAGUUUGAUACACGGCUAAAAGAUUUCAACUUUAGACAAGGGAAAAUCAGCUUUAGCCGAACAUGUAUGUUACACCAAACAAUCGCUAUGGUC
rnacentral:lncRNA from 1 species